GAUGAACGCUGGCGGCGUGCCUAAUACAUGCAAGUCGAGCGAACAGACGAGGAGCUUGCUCCUCUGACGUUAGCGGCGGACGGGUGAGUAACACGUGGAUAACCUACCUAUAAGACUGGGAUAACUUCGGGAAACCGGAGCUAAUACCGGAUAAUAUUUUGAACCGCAUGGUUUGAUAGUGAAAGACGGUUUCGGCUGUCACUUAUAGAUGGACCCGCGCCGUAUUAGCUAGUUGGUAAGGUAACGGCUUACCAAGGCGACGAUACGUAGCCGACCUGAGAGGGUGAUCGGCCACACUGGAACUGAGACACGGUCCAGACUCCUACGGGAGGCAGCAGUAGGGAAUCUUCCGCAAUGGGCGAAAGCCUGACGGAGCAACGCCGCGUGAGUGAUGAAGGUCUUCGGAUCGUAAAACUCUGUUGUUAGGGAAGAACAAAUUUGUUAGUGACUGAACAAGUCUUGACGGUACCUAACCAGAAAGCCACGGCUAACUACGUGCCAGCCGCCGCCGUAA
rnacentral:rRNA from 1 species